GCCCGGUUAGCUCAGAUGGUAAACAUCAGACUUUUGAUCUGAGGUUCAUGGGUUCGAGCCCCAUAUCGGGCG
rnacentral:tRNA from 1 species